AGCGAACGCUGGCGGCAGGCCUAACACAUGCAAGUCGAACGGAUCCCUCGGGAUUAGUGGCGGACGGGUGAGUAACACGUGGGAACGUGCCCUUUGGAUCGGAACAACUCAGGGAAACAUGAGCUAAUACCGGAUGUGACCUUCGGGGGAAAGAUUUAUCGCCAUUGCAGCCGUCCGCGUCUGAUUAGCUAGUUGGUGUGGUAACGGCCAACCAAGGCCACGAUCAUUAGCUGGUCUUACAGAAUGAUACGACACACUGGGAGUGAGACACGGCCCAAACUCCUACGCGAGGCAACGAUGCGAAAUCUUGCAAAAUGGGCUAGAGCCAGAAGGAGCCAUGCCGGGUGAGUUAUGAAGGUCGUAAGAUUAUAGAAGUCUUUCAGCUGGCACGAUAAUGACGGUACCCACAGAAGAAGCUCCGGCUAACUUCGUG
rnacentral:rRNA from 1 species